CCUACGGGAGGCAGCAGUGGGGAAUAUUGCACAAUGGGGGAAACCCUGAUGCAGCGACGCCGCGUGAGUGAAGAAGUAAUUCGGUAUGUAAAGCUCUAUCAGCAGGGAAGAAAAUGACGGUACCUGAGUAAGAAGCCCCGGCUAACUACGUGCCAGCAGCCGCGGUAAUACGUAGGGGGCAAGCGUUAUCCGGAUUUACUGGGUGUAAAGGGAGCGCAGGCGGCGCGUUAAGCCUGGUGUGAAAGCCCGCGGCCCAACCGCGGGACUGCAUUGGGAACUGGCGCGCUGGAGUGCCGGAGGGGUAGGCGGAAUUCCUAGUGUAGCGGUGAAAUGCGUAGAUAUUAGGAGGAACGCCAGUGGCGAAGGCGGCCUACUGGACGGUGACUGACGCUGAGGCUCGAAAGCGUGGGGAGCAAACAGGAUUAGAUACCCGUGUAGUC
rnacentral:rRNA from 1 species